UGCACACAUUCUUCCUCCGCCUUCUCCCCAACCUGCAGCACCUCGCACUCCCUUUGCCCUGUUGACUCCUCUUCAUCUCCAGUCCACUUCCUGAGGAACCAAACCUGGGACAAUCCUCUCAACAGCCUUAUGGAUCAACCCUGAGCUAACAUCUGCUGCUAAUCCUCCUCUUUUUGCUGAGGAAGACUGGCCCUGAGCUAACAUCCGUGCCCAUCUUCCUCUACUUUAUACGUGGGACGCCUACCACAGCAUGGCUUGCCAAGCAGUACCAUGUCCACACCCAGGAUCUGAACCGGCAAACCGUGGGCUGCUGAAGUGGAACAUGCACACCUAACUGCUGCGCCACCGGGCCGGCCCCUAAAAUGUUAAUAAUUUUUAAAUGCAUAAAUAAUAUACAAGAUAUAUCCUCGUUUGAAAAUGUGUUUUAAAUUUUAAGCUCACAUGUUAAUGCAGCGUUUCACUCAACAAGUCCUCAUCUGGCCUUUCCUCGCAUUCUUUAGGGUUGUUCUUACAGGGUAGAGGCCAGAGCUUAACCCACUUGCACUUGAGGAAAAUCUGUUAUGAUUUCCCAAAGUUCCUCUGUUUCCCAGAUUAAUUUUAUUUAAAACCUAUGGAUUACCCAUCCAGCUAUCCCGUACUGUUCAUUGGCCUCAAGAUGCCAAGACCGACCCGUGAACUGGAGCAGGUGGUGUCUGCAUUCAUGGUGAGGCAGCCUGUACCCACUGGGUCAGACCUGGUGGCCCCUGGGAGUCCACACAGUAUUCUGCACCCACAGCACUGGGCAGGUAAAGAUGUGGCCUCCUUGGUGCUGAAUGAAGCUUUGCUUAAUGUGGCUGCCUGUGGAAUUAUAUUUGGAGGGAUUGCUAUUAAUGGAAACCAGUGAAGGAGCAGUCACUCGUUCCUCACAAGCACAGAGGUCUUUUGUGAUGGAGAUGACAGCUUUCCUCAUUUCAUACACGGUCCCUCGUGAACCUGAAGAGGGAAGGAUGCAUGCGUGUUUGAACAAGACUUCAAAGGAAGCCUGGGACCCGGCCUCCAUUCCAGAGUUGCUGUCAGGUCAGCCCCUGGAGCCACCCACAGUUCUCAUUCCUGUCUCACGUCCUUCAAGGACUUCCUGCUACUCUUGGGAAGAGCCAAAUUUCUUCACCGAGCCCACCAAGCCCAUGGCAGUGUCACCCCAGCUAACCUUGCCUGCUUAUCUCCCAUCCACCCUGCCCUGCAGUCCCACUGCAGAGUCUCACCUUCCCCAAAAUAUCCUACGCGGGUGCCUCCCUGUCAGAAAUGCCAUUCUCCCUUUUGUUGUCUGGAUCCUCUCCAUCUCAUCCUUCAAGACCCUGGCAGAAGUCUUCUUAGGGAGUCCUCCCCAUCUGUCCCAGGUAGAGGGAAUCAUCCCCACCUCUUUGCUCC
rnacentral:lncRNA from 1 species